AGAACGAACGCUGGCGGCGUGGAUAAGACAUGCAAGUCGAACGGGAUAUUAUUUGUAGCAAUACAAAUGAUGUCCAGUGGCGUAAGGGUGCGUAACACGUGGGCAAUCUGCCGAAGAGUGGGGGAUAGCUCGCCGAAAGGCGAAUUAAUACCGCAUGUGGCUUGCGAAGGAAUCUUCGCUGGGCCAAAGCCGGGUACCUAGCAAUAGGCCUGGCGCUCUUUGAUGAGCCCGCGGCCUAUCAGCUAGUUGGUGAGGUAACGGCUCACCAAGGCUAUGACGGGUAGC
rnacentral:rRNA from 1 species